GAAGUGCGAUAAGUAAUGUGAAUUGCAGAAUUCCGUGAAUCAUCGAAUUUUUGAACGCAAAUUGCACUCUCUGGUAUUCCAAGGGAGUAUGCCUGUUUGAGGGUUAAUUUAAUUAAAAUCGAUUGUGUUGCUUUUUUUGUGGUAAUGCUUUUCGGAAUUGAACCUUUCUUAACCUUUUUUGGUUAAGUGGUUUAAAAUUUAUCUGGGCGUGAUUUAAACGUACUUAAGAUUCUUUUUUACGUUUUUAACCGCCGAAUUUUUUAUUAGGUAUGACCGUAUCGGUUACAUGUCUAUAGCAUCAUUUCAUUUAUUAACCUCAAAUCAGGUAAGAUUACCCGCUGAACUUAA
rnacentral:misc_RNA from 1 species